GCCCGGCCUGGGCUCGAGGCCGGCGCCUCCAGCGACUGGCGCCCCCAGCAUAGAAAUCUUUCUCCGCAACUUGGACUGACCCACCCAGAGCGCCCCGAGUAUCCGGCCCGGGGCGGGGAUGCGCGUGCGCGGAGGGGGUGCCGCGGAGCCCGCGUGAGCAGACAAAUUACCGCGGACCUGAGAGGACGCGUCCGCGCCAGCCCGGAAGGAGGAGGGGGCCGCCCCUGGACCUUCGAUGGCUCCCCGCGCCUGUGGAAAGGAGCAGCUUAGCCUGAGACAGAGUCUGCCCCAGUAUGACUUUUGACCUCCUCGUCUUGCCCAGUGCCCUGCCUUCAGCUAAAAACUGAGUUCCUCCCUAUGGGUUUCCACCUUUCAAAGCCCGUCUUCACUGUCACUUUGUCCAGGGAGCCAUCCCUGAUUCUCCCAGGUCUCUCAUCUGGGAACUGGGAUGAUAGCGCCAACCUAGCUGGAUUGCUGUGACCGCCAACACAAUGCCUUCUAAGGGUUCAAGGUGGGUGCUCAGCAAGCCUUAGCUUCUAUUGUGACUACCAAGGAUCCUGGUGGUCCUCCCAGUUCUAGGAAGGGGCAGCCAUGCAGAACAAGUCUCAAAAGCCAGCAGGAGCAGGAGAGGGGGAUUGAGAAUCCCCAAAUUGAUAGGCAGCCUGGGGCUGGGUGGGGCAAAAGGUACUAGGAGGCGAUGCCUCUGCCUUUUCCCCUUCUACUGUACCCCGUCCACACUCCAUAGAAGUCAGCAGUUCAGCUGUCCUCUAAUGCACCCCACACCCCAACACACAACACACAGGCGCCCCAGCCCUCAGACGGGAAAAACACCGUCUGGCACUAGGUCUGGUUGGCUGGAGAAGUGGAGAGGGAGCCAGACAGCCCUUCCAUCAUGCAGAUGGAGAGACCUAGAGUCUCAGGCGUUAGGGAAACAAGUCAUUUAACAUCCAUCAGGACCCAAGCCUCCUGAGCCCCCAGCCUGGACCCCUGCACCCCCUCUGGGGAGCAGAGUAAGACACAGAGCUCCCUAACACUAGACCAGGUGUCCCUUAGCUCCACUCUUCUAGGAGGCUCCCUGAGCACACCCUCUUCAGAGCCUGACUCCCACAGGAGAAGCAGAUGGUGCCGGAGUCUGCUGGGAACUGGCUGCCCUGGAGCCCAGCUGUUGCACAGAUGUGAGGGGGGAGGGUGCAAUGGGGGUUACGAAGGCAGAAACCCUUGGCAGCUCAUGCCUGAGUCACCCGUCAGCUCCGGGAGUGGUAAUGAGCAGAUUAGGGUUAUUAUAGUCGAAUGGCUCGGAGCGCACUUGCUCACCCGAGCAACCGUCGGCAAAGGGCUGAUCGCCCACGGCUGCCAUGGCCAUCACGCCAGGCCCGCCUCUCCCCUGCCCUCUUAUUGACCGCACCGCUGCCAAGGCAGCCUCUGUGGCCUUCACACACCUCAUUAGAGCUGCCGGGGCAUGCCUACCAGCCCAUGGCCCAGACAUCACCCCACCCGCUCCUCUUCCCAGGUGUGUCAGGGGGACACAGGAGUCUGACGUGGGGCCUCGAUAAGUGGACACAGUGAUCCCUGACUAGGGAAACAAGUGUAUAGUUCCCCACCCACCUAGAAUUGGAGCAAGGACAGGUGUGGCAGGGAUUCAGCUGCCAGGGCCAGUCCUUGUCUCUCUGGUCACCUACCAGAGCUCUAAAACCAGUGAGGUUCCUGUAGGUCUGGGCCAGGGACAUGUCAAUCUCCAAGGGGGGAGGCUCCUCCUUCCCCACUGGCCCAUGUCAUCCCCUCUGCUCCCUCUCAGAGCAGGAAACAGAAGCAAUCUGUCCCAGCAGCCCAGGGCUGGGAGGUGGGGCUGGGUGUCGGGGUAGUAAUGAUUCCGAGUACUGAAUCGCAGAGACUGAUGGACACUUACUAUGUCCUAACAGGCACUGAGUGCUGGACAUGUGUCUAUCCACUUUGUCUUCCCAACAGCCCCAUGUGUGAACAGAUUGAGCGUCCCGAACCCCCAAAGCUGAAAUCCAAAAUGCUCCCAAAUUCAAAACUUUUCGAGUACCCACAUGACUGAUGCUAAAAGGACAUGCUCAUUGGAGCCUUUUGGAUUUCAGAUUUGGGACGCUCAACAGAUAAGAAUAAUAUAAAUAUUCCAAAAUCUGAAACCCAAAACUUG